AGUGAACGCUGGCGGUAUGCCUAACACAUGCAAGUCGAACGGCAGCACAGUAAGAGCUUGCUCUUACGGGUGGCGAGUGGCGGACGUGUGAGGAAUACAUCGGAAUCUACUUUUUCGUGGGGGAUAACGUAGGGAAACUUACGCUAAUACCUCAUACGACCUACGGGUGAAAGCAGGGGAUCUUCGGACCUUGCGCGAUUGAAUGAGCCGAUGUCGGAUUAGCUAGUUGGCGGGGUAAAGGCCCACCAAGGCGACGAUCCGUAGCUGGUCUGAGAGGAUGAUCAGCCACACUGGAACUGAGACACGGUCCAGACGCCUAAGGGAGGCAGCAGUGGGGAAUAUUGGACAAUGGGCGCAAGCCUGAUCCAGCCAUACCGAGUGGGUGAAGAAGGCCUUCGGGUUGUAAAGCCCUUUUGUUGGGAAAGAAAAGCAGCAGGUUAAUACCCCGCUGUUCUGACGGUACCCAAAGAAUAAGCACCGGCUAACUUCGUG
rnacentral:rRNA from 1 species